rnacentral:lncRNA from 1 species
AUGGCGGGUGAAAAGGCGGAGAAGCCUGAUACAAAGGAGAGAAAAUCUGUGGCCAAGAAGGCUGGCGGCGAUGCUGCCGCCUCUGGUACCUGGGCUGCUGUUGCAGCCAAAAAGGGUCGCCCUAAGGUUAAAAAGCCCAAGAAGGGGAAGCCCCAUUGCAGCCAAAACUUGCCCUGGUUAGAGGAAUUGGCAGGUACUCCCGAUCUGCUAUGCAUUCCAGAAAGGUCUUGUACAAAAGGAAAUACUCAGCUGCCAAGACCAAGGUUGAGAAGAAGAAGAAGAAAAAGGAGAAGGUCCUUGCUACUGUCACAAAAACAGUUGGUGGGGACAGGAACGGUGGCACCUGGGUGGUGAAGCUUCGAAAAAUGCCUAGGUAUUAUCCUACGGAAGAUGUGCC